CAAUAAGCGGAGGAAAAGAAACUAACAAGGAUUCCCCUAGUAACUGCGAGUGAAGCGGGAUGAGCUCAAAUUUAAAAUCUGGCGUCUUCGGCGUCCGAGUUGUAAUUUAGAGAAGCGUUUUCCGUGCCGGACCGUGUACAAGUCUCCUGGAACGGAGCGUCAUAGAGGGUGAGAAUCCCGUCUUUGACACGGACCCCCGGUGCUCUGUGAUACGCUCUCGAAGAGUCGAGUUGUUUGGGAAUGCAGCUCAAAAUGGGUGGUGAACUCCAUCUAAAGCUAAAUAUUGGCGAGAGACCGAUAGCGAACAAGUACCGUGAGGGAAAGAUGAAAAGCACUUUGGAAAGAGAGUGAAACAGUACGUGAAAUUGUUGAAAGGGAAACGCUUGAAGUCAGUCGCGUCCGCCGGGACUCAGCCGCAAGGUGUACUUUCCGGUGGACGGGCCAGCAUCACUUUUGACCGUCGGACAAAGGCGAGGGGAAUGUGGCACCUUCGGGUGUGUUAUAGCCCCUUGUCAUAUACGACGGACGGGAGUGAGGAACGCCUUUGUAGGAUGCUGGCGUAAUGGCUUUAAACGACCCGUCUUGAAACACGGACCAAGGAGUCUAACAUGCCCGCGAGUGUUCGGGUGGAAAACCCGUGCGCGUAAUGAAAGUGAAAGUUGGGAAGGCUGUCGCGGCCUGCACCGACGCCCGGACUUGAGAUUUAUCGAAGGUUCUGCGGUAGAGCGUGUAUGUUGGGACCCGAAAGAUGGUGAACUAUGCCUGAAUAGGGUGAAGCCAGAGGAAACUCUGGUGGAGGCUCGUAGCGAUUCUGACGUGCAAAUCGAUCGUCGAAUUUGGGUAUAGGG
rnacentral:rRNA from 1 species